rnacentral:tRNA from 1 species
UGGGGUAUCGCCAAGCGGUAAGGCAGCGGGUUUUGAUCUCGCCAUCCCCCCCCCCCCUAGGUUCGAAUCCUAGUACCCCAGCCA